AAAACAAACAAAAACAAAAUAAUAUAAAAAAAUAUGGGUUUUUCAUAUUCUCAUAUAUAUUUUUUAUUUAUUCAUU
rnacentral:misc_RNA from 1 species